CCUACGGGAGGCAGCAGUGAGGAAUAUUGGUCAAUGGGCGCAAGCCUGAACCAGCCAUCCCGCGUGAAGGAUGAAGGCCCUAUGGGUCGUAAACUUCUUUUAUACACCAAGAAAAAUUCCGACGUGUCGGGACUCGACGGUAGUGUAUGAAUAAGCAUCGGCUAACUCCGUGCCAGCAGCCGCGGUAAUACGGAGGAUGCAAGCGUUAUCCGGAUUCAUUGGGUUUAAAGGGUGCGUAGGCGGCUUUUUAAGUCAGUGGUGAAAUCUUGCCGCUUAACGGUAAAAUUGCCAUUGAUACUGAAAAGCUUGAGUACAUUUGAGGUAAGCGGAAUGUGUAGUGUAGCGGUGAAAUGCUUAGAUAUUACACAGAACACCAAUUGCGAAGGCAGCUUACUAAACUGUUACUGACGCUGAUGCACGAAAGCGUGGGGAGCGAACAGGAUUAGAUACCCCAGUAGUC
rnacentral:rRNA from 1 species